rnacentral:rRNA from 1 species
GCAUAUCAAUAAGCGGAGGAAAAGAAACCAACAGGGAUUGCCCUAGUAACGGCGAGUGAAGCGGCAACAGCUCAAAUUUGAAAUCUGGCCCUCGGGUCCGAGUUGUAAUUUGUAGAGGAUGUUUUUGGUGAGGUACCUUCCGAGUUCCCUGGAACGGGACGCCAUAGAGGGUGAGAGCCCCGUCUGGUUGGAUACCGAUCCUCUGUAAAACUCCUUCAACGAGUCGAGUAGUUUGGGAAUGCUGCUCUAAAUGGGAGGUAUAUGUCUUCUAAAGCUAAAUAUUGGCCAGAGACCGAUAGCGCACAAGUAGAGUGAUCGAAAGAUGAAAAGCACUUUGAAAAGAGAGUUAAAAAGUACGUGAAAUUGUUGAAAGGGAAGCGCUUAUGACCAGACUUGGACUUGGUUGAUCAUCCUGGGUUCUCCCUGGUGCACUCUUCCAGUUCAGGCCAGCAUCAGUUCAUCGCGGGGGAUAAAGGCUUCGGGAAUGUGGCUCCCUCGGGAGUGUUAUAACCCGUUGUGUAAUACCCUGCUUUGGACUGAGGUUCGCGCAUCUGCAAGGAUGCUGGCGUAAUGGUCAUCAGCGACCCGUCUUGAAACACGGACCAAGGAGUCGUCUUCGUAUGCGAGUGUUCGGGUGUUAAACCCCUACGCGUAAUGAAAGUGAACGCAGGUGAGAGCUUCGGCGCAUCAUCGACCGAUCCUGAUGUUCUCGGAUGGAUUUGAGUAAGAGCAUACGGGGCCGGACCCGAAAGAAGGUGAACUAUGCUUGUAUAGGGUGAAGCCAGAGGAAACUCUGGUGGAGGCUCGCAGCGGUUCUGACGUGCAAAUCGAUCGUCAAAUAUGAGCAUGGGGGCGAAAGACUAAUCGAACCUUCUAGUAGCUGGUUCCGCCGA